rnacentral:tRNA from 1 species
GCCGCAUUAGCUCAGUAGGUAGAGCAACUGAUUCGUAAUCAGUAGGUCAGCAGUUCGAUUCUGCUAAGCGGCA